rnacentral:rRNA from 1 species
CCUACGGGUGGCAGCAGUGGGGAAUAUUGGGCAAUGGGCGCAAGCCUGACCCAGCAACGCCGCGUGAAGGAAGAAGGCUUUCGGGUUGUAAACUUCUUGUAAGAGGGAAGAGCAGAAGACGGUACCUCUGGAAUAAGCCACGGCUAACUACGUGCCAGCAGCCGCGAUAAUACGUCGGUGGCAAGCGUUGUCCGGAUUUACUGGGUGUAAAGGGCGGGCAGGCGGGAAGACAAGUCAGCUGGGAAAUCCCGCGGCUCAACCGCGGAACUGCAUUUGCAACUUUUUUUCUUGAGUACCGGAGAGGUCAUCGGCAUUCCUUUUGUCGCGGUGACAUGCGUAGAUAUCAGG